CGAGGCUCUUAUUNNNGUAAGGGCUUAGUGGCAAACGGGUGAGUAACGCGUAGGCAACCUGCCUCCAAGAUGGGGACAACACUCCGAAAGGGGUGCUAAUACCGAAUGUUGUAAUACUGCUGCAUGGCAGUAUUACCAAAGGUGGCUUUUAGCUAUCGCUUGGAGAUGGGCCUGCGUCUGAUUAGCUGGUUGGUGACGGUAACGGCGCACCAAGGCGACGAUCAGUAGCCGGUCUGAGAGGAUGAACGGCCACAUUGGGACUGAGACACGGCCCAGACUCCUACGGGAGGCAGCAGUGGGGAAUCUUCCGCAAUGGGCGAAAGCCUGAUCGGAGCAACGCCGCGUGAACGAGGAAGGUCUUCGGAUCGUAAAGUUCUGUUGCAGGGGACGAACGGCACUAUAGCCAAUAAGUAUAGUGAAUGACGGUACCCUGUUAGAAAAGCCACGGCUAACUACGUGCCAGCAGCCGCGGUAAUACGUAGGCCGGCAAGCGUUGUCCGGGAAUCA
rnacentral:rRNA from 1 species